rnacentral:precursor_RNA from 1 species
AACAACAUCCUGGGCCGAUGCUACAGUGCAUCAGCCCAGGACACAUGAACAGUGAUUUUACUGUUCAUGAGGGCUUCAUAAACAGUAAAAUCACUGUAGCACCGUGUCCUGGGCUGAUGCAUAUAGCAUCAGCCCAGACUGAUGCCAAACGUUACUCAUGCUCGGUGUUCAUCUAGGUUCAUCUUUAGUCUUUUUUAAUUUUUUAUUUUUUGCGACUUUUUGCAAAUCAAAAAAAGAGGUCCAUCUUGGUCUAAACACCAAACAUUUUUUCAUUUUAUAAAAUGGAAUGCUUGUAGUACAUCUUUUUGAUUCAUCUUGGUUCAUUGUGCAGUGAUGGAUUUUUAUUUUUUUUUAGGUUAAAAAAAAAAUGAAAGAUGGACAAAAAAGAUGUACAAAAAAACAUUUUUUUUUUACCUUUCUAGUAAGUAGAAUUGCUCAAGGAAGCUAUUAAUAACCGGCUCACACCCCAAACCAGCCAACCGUCCAUUUAUUUUAGUUGGUUAUUUUUUUUACUUCCUUUUGUUUUUGUUUUUGGCUUUUUGAACAAUUUGAAAUUUCUUCGAUCAAAACCUUAUUUAUAACACUUUUAAUAGCCUCUCAAGCUAAAACAUGAGCGCCUGAAUUUAUAUCACUCUUCGCAUGAUUAAUCUGCUAAAAUCUCAAGUGACUCAACCCUAAUUUAAUACCAUCAACUAUAUGACCAAACGUGCUCCAGUUUGGGCUAUACCCUUUGACUGCAUUUACACUAUGCAAAACAUCGCUUUCCAAAAUUAUAUUAUAAAAACUCAUCUCUGUGCUAAAUUCAACAACAUAAAAUUCUAUCAAAGCUUUAGUCACAACAGGUUCAAUCAACAAAUCUUAUGCAGUACUUUAUGUUGCCAAGACUAUGCCCCAUGGUCCCUCAUUAUAAUUUCAAUUCCUAUACAUCUAUAUCUCUUAUCCACGGCUACAUCCUAAUUAAUUAUAAACAUACAUGUAGGGGCUUCUUCCAUAUUAUUGGAAUUUCAUCUUGGAUAGGGUGCAGUAUAGCAAGGUCUUGGGUUGUGGCCAUUUGGAAUUUCUCAAGAGGCACUAUUAUUGAAUAAAAAUUCUAUUUUUUCUUUGGGCAAGUGUAUUAAAGGAUCUUCAAAUUUAUGAAUAAAAAUGUUUAUUAGAAUGUUUUCAACUACUCAUGGUACAAAUUCUUCAUAGAGAAAAUCAUACAAAACAAGCAAAUAAUAUCCCUCACAAUUGCCCAAAACAGUUAAUAACCCAAAAAUAGCUACCAUGUUAAUAACAUGGUAGCAAUGUGGAUUAGGAUCCCUGAAAUUGCCCAAAAUUAGGGUGUCCACUUGCCUCAUACCGAUGAAUCCAAAACUAUUGACAUAGAUUCACUCUAGCAAUUACUUAUCCAAAUUUGACAGUUAUUAUGAGAAAGUUUAUGUGAGACCCAACUAUCAAAAUAAAUUUUAAGUUGUUUGGUUAUCUAUCUAAACAAGUGAGUCUCAUAUGUACUGUCUCACAAUAAAUAUCCAAUUGCUAGCUAAUUACUGUGAAUUUCAAUCCCGAAACUUUAGGUUGUCUGGAGCAAUUUGCUCAAAUUUGAUAGCAGCCUAAUUUAGGAAUCCUCGUCCCGCAAUGUGAUCCUAAUAUCUCUCCCAGACAUCCCAAUAUCGCCAACUCAAGAGUUAAUUCUAGAUAUCAACAUGUUAACAAGCAUUUAAAACAUAAAAUCUAGGUUUUCAAGCGUGUAGCAACCUUUCUAAUAGAUAUAAGAAGUCAAUUUUUUUUAACCUACUAAGUGAUCUAUUUCCUUUAUUGCUAUGUACGUAAUGCUAUUUCUUGAAAGCAUGCAUCAAUUAAAUAUAAAAGAAAAUAGAAGUGAAGAAGCUGAAGAUUCAAAUUUACAACCGCACAGUUCAAGAGCUCUCUUUUGCAUUCCUGCUAGUCUCCUCCACGACCUUCAUCCACACGUUGGCAAUUUUCUAGGUAAUGGAUAGUGAAAAUGGGGAACAAAGGACAUUAGGAUCCUUAAAUAGGUUGUUCUUCACGAGUCCCAUGUUGAGAUGUCCAUUUUUAAUUCGCAUGCAUAUUGCACCAAUUGAUCGUCGCUUAACUAAUCAAUCAUUAGGGCUGCAUUUACACCAAUUGAUUGUCUAACGCAAAUUCUCACUGAAGUCCAAAAAUUCAACUUCUCCCACUUGAUACUUAUAACCAACGAUGGCAUACUUGGACAAUAAUUGUAGCACACUUAACCUUAAUUUAAGAGGGGGUGUUACAUAAAGGCUUUGAAACACAUCAGAUCGAAUGUCAGAGAGGUUUUAGAUCUUGCCCUAAAACACCCAUUAACUUAGAGUUUAGAGGCUUAGAGUGGCGAUUGGAAAAAGAGAAACGAAGAUAGAGAGGUUGAGAGUGUUGAGUUGUUAUAGUGAGAAAAAUACUAUAGAUCUGUUGAGAGAAAAAUAGCGAAAUUAGAGGUAAGGAAAAGGAAUUUUAGAAAAAUCAUUUCCCUUGCCAAAACAAAUUGUUUUGGAUUUUUUUUUUUAAAUAUAUAUAUAUAAAAUGGGUAUGCGUGCAGGUAAUAUUCGCCCAUGCAUACUCAUAUAUCGUCAUCCACCAGUAAGUAGGUAGGUAGUGAAAAGCCCAUGUGCUCGCUGUAAGGGUAAUGGGCAAAUUUUCUCCUCAUUAUCCUUGGUGGGUGGAUAUGAGUGGGACGGCCGAUUUUUGAUUGGCAUGUUGCCCACCCGUAUUCAUUUUAUUCAAUUUUGUAUUUUUCAUAUAUUGUUACAAUCCUAAAUAUCUCAUAUGGCUAAAGUCCAAUAAUAACCAUAUUAUAUAUAAGCUUUUGUGCACAUAUCCAUUAUAAGCUAGUUUUUAAUGGUGGAUUCUACUUAAUGUUUAUAUUAUUUGGUAUUAAAGCUAGGUUCCAUGUCUCGGGUAUGAGCUGUGGAAAUAGUAGACCUAGGGGAUAGAGUGGGUCACUGUAGACAUCGGAUUUUGGAAGCGUGAUGAUAUGUUACGAUUUUAAGUGUCCUAUAUGCUUUAAAUGUAAUUUUAAUAAUGUAUAUAUAGACCCUUGGAUACCUUUCACUUGCAAGUUGGUUUUAAAUGAUGAGUUUUGCUUGAAAUUUGUAAAUAGGCUAUUAAAGAGUUUAGUUUACCACAUAUAUGUCAAUCAAUAGUUGUUUAGUGCUACUUGAAUGAUAUAAUCCAAAGAUGUAUGAAAGAAUAUACUUUGCA